rnacentral:rRNA from 1 species
UACGUAGGGUGCAAGCGUUAAUCGGAAUUACUGGACGUAAAGCGUGCGCAGGCGGCUAUGCAAGACAGAUGUGAAAUCCCCGGGCUCAACCUGGGAACUGCAUUUGUGACUGCAUGGCUAGAGUACGGUAGAGGGGGAUGGAAUUCCGCGUGUAGCAGUGAAAUGCGUAGAUAUGCGGAGGAACACCGAUGGCGAAGGCAAUCCCCUGGACCUGUACUGACGCUCAUGCACGAAAGCGUGGGGAGCAAACAGG